GCCCAGCCGUCGCUGCUUCCGAUAAGUCUACGUGCGCCGUACCUGCAUGACUCCGUCCCCGGCUUUCCGCGAUGAGGCACAGGCCCUCGCGCUGGCGCUCCCCACUGGCAGCAAUUCGUCUUCACCUUCCUGGCAGGCGAGCGGGGCGCAGACUCAGCCCGGACCAAGCUUCCUCGCGACAAUGGAGAGAGGUGGUUGUGGGGGAAAGAAGGAGAUGGAUUUAUACCGCCCAGACCUUGACUCCGAGCGGCCACGGCCAGCCGGCACCAGGAGGAAUUUUUUUACUAGCUAUUUUGUUGCUGCAUGCGGCCAUGCGAGGAGGUUCGCGGUAGGAUCCAUAUUUAUAUAGGGAUCGAGGCAUCCUGGCCCUAGCCGUAUUCUGUUGGCGAGCGGGCAGGUGAG
rnacentral:lncRNA from 7 species